GGAGGAAAGUGGCUAAUGUGAUGAUCAGAAAGCAGAGAGAGAUCUCUGUUUGCCAAGAAUGAAUAUAUACCCUAAAGCCAGGUCCCCAGUGCCCCACCUAUUCCAGCCACACUCCACCUGCCUUCAAUUACACUCACUUAGUCUCAUCAGGUGAUUAAUUAAUUGAUUGGGCUAAGGCGCUCAUUACCCAAUCAUUUUUUCUCUAAAGCUUCUUGCAUUGUCUUACAUGUGAGCUUUGAGGAACACCUCACAUCCAAACCAUAGUGUAUACUUAGGAAAAUCAGGUCAGAUUCAUUUCACUGCCUCCAUUUCAAUCCCCACUUCCUUCCCUUCAUUCCCCUUUGUCUAAUCCACUGAACUUCUGUUCUUCCCUUUCUCACACUUGCUGUGGGUUAGCAUCCACAGAGAAAACAUUUAGCUUUUGGGAGGCGAGGGGAUUGGCUUAUUUUACUUAGUAUGAGUCUCCAGGUUCAUCCGUUUACUGGCAAAUGUCAUAACGUCAUUCUUUGUUAUGGCUGAGUAAUAGUACAUUGUGUAUAUAUAGCAAAAUUUUUUUUUCCAUUCAUCUGUUGAUGGGCAUCUAAGUUGAUUCCACAUCUAAGUGAUUGUGAAUUGUGCUUCUAUAAACAUUGAUGUGGCUGCAUCACUGUAGUAUGCUGGUUUUUAUUCCUUUUUAUAUAUACUGAGGAGUGGAAUAACUGGGUCAAAUGGAGGUCCCAUUCCUAGAUUUUGAGGAAUCUCCAUUCUGCUUCCCAGAGUGGUUACACUAAUUUGCAGUCCUUCCAACAAUGUUUGAGUGUAACCUUUUCCCCAAAUCUUCCCCAACAUUUAAUGCUACUUGUGUUCUUUUUAUUUUUUAAUUUUUUUUAGUUGUAGAUGGACACAAUGGACACAAUGUCUUUAUUUAUUUUUAUAUGGGGCUGAGGAUUGAACCCAGGGCCUCACAUGUGCCAGGCAGGCGCUCUACCACUGACCCACUGCCCCAGCCCCACUACUUGUAUUCUUAAUGAUUGCUAUUUUCACUGGAGUGAGGUGAAAUAUUAGUGUAGUUUUAUAUUGCAUUUCUCUAAUUGCUAGAGAUGUUGAUUUUUUAAAAAAUAUAUUUGUUGACUGUUCCUGUUUCUUCUUUUGAGAA
rnacentral:lncRNA from 1 species